rnacentral:sRNA from 2 species
AUGUACUCCUCGGACAUUCCGGUUUCGCUGCGCCGACCAUGCCACCUGCGGGUUGGUCGCGGCGUGGUGUCGACU